GCCCCAGUAGCUCAUUUGGUAGAAUGCAUGCCACAUACACAGUGGCGCAGGUUCAAAUCCAGCCUGGGCCC